UUUCUACUCCCUCCGUCCGAAAAUACUUGUCAUCAAAAUGGAUAAAAAGAGAUGUAUCUAACACUAAAAUACAUCUAGAUACAUUUCCUUUUAUCCAUUUUGAUGACAAGUAUUUUCGGAAGGAGGGAGUAUUUG
rnacentral:pre_miRNA from 1 species